AAACCUGCCUCUAAUACCA
rnacentral:miRNA from 1 species